AUGCUAAAUGAACCGGAGGCUACCUGUAGCCAGACCGGAUUAAGUCCUUUCUGCACCUCCAACAAACCGCCAGCUGGUGAUGAUCCAUUCUGGAAGAAAAAACCACAGGAUAAACCGGCAAAACCACAAGACAAACCGGCAAAGCCACUUCGUCCGAAGACCAUGGUUGUUAAAAAACCUGCCAAGAAAAGGACCACUGCGUCUUUCGAGCCAAAUGCUGAUGCCGAUGUAGCUAAUCCGGACUCAGAGGACGACGCUGAAGGCAGUCAAGGUGAUGACGUAGAGACGCAGCAACACGAAGCUCGCCGCACGACCCGGCACAGGGUACUUCGCACUCAUCUUCUGGCGAGUCAUCAGCCACAAAGCUUCCACCUCUCAAGACAGUUCCUGGUGCCAAGCCAAGACCCAGCAAGAAGGCUCGGUUAA
rnacentral:rRNA from 1 species